ensembl:miRNA Gm24605 predicted gene, 24605
AUGUAUGUAUGUAUGUAUGUGAAUGUGUAUAUAUUUAUGAAUGAAUAUGUCUAUACACACACACACACACACACACACACACACACACACACACAC